rnacentral:lncRNA from 1 species
CCGAAGCAUUCGUUGCGCGCCGCCUCCGCCGCCGCCUCCGCGGCUAGCGUCCCCUGCACCUGCUGCCUGGCGGUGCAGACGCAUGAAAACAAAAGCGCGCUCCUCAGAUCCCAUGCUCGUUGCAGCUCGCGGGAGGAUCGAUCAGGCUGGGUAGCAGUACGGGGUUUGGCGUGCACUCACUUGGCUGCCUCGACGGAGCAGCGGAAUGUGGGUCGGCGCGGGCAGAGCAGCUGGGCGGAGCGGCGUCGAGCGGCGUGGGCGCCGAGGGCACCCGUCGAGCCACAGCGGAGCGCUUGCGGCCUCGCUAGGGAGGAGAAAUCCAUGGCGG